UGGGGAAUUUUGGACAACGGGGGAAACCCUGAUCCAGCCAUCCCGCGUGUGCGAUGAAGGCCUUCGGGUUGUAAAGCACUUUUGGCAGGAAAGAAACGUCAUGGGUUAAUACCCCGUGAAACUGACGGUACCUGCAGAAUAAGCACCGGCUAACUACGUGCCAGCAGCCGCGGUAAUACGUAGGGUGCAAGCGUUAAUCGGAAUUACUGGGCGUAAAGCGUGCGCAGGCGGUUCGGAAAGAAAGAUGUGAAAUCCCAGAGCUCAACGUUGGAACUGCAUUUUUAACUACCGGGCUAGAGUGUGUCAGAGGGAGGUGGAAUUCCGCGUGUAGCAGUGAAAUGCGUUGUUAUGCGGAGGAACAGCGGUGGCGGAGGCAGCCUCCUGGGAUAACACUGACGCUGAUGCACGGAGGCGUGGGGAGCAAACAGG
rnacentral:rRNA from 1 species